AGAGCAAGAAAAUACCAAGGAGAGGCCCCUCCUGUGAUGCAAAAACCAAUGGUUAUUGUAACCCGAUAGCAGGGGCAACUGAAACAAUAAAGAGCUCUCCUAUGGCAAGUCAAGGACAAAAUAAACAUUAGAGGCAGCAAGCAUUCGGGGAGCAUGCAGUCUCAGUGAAGUCCAGAGUGGCAUUGGCAACCACAACAGGCAGCACCAGACAGUAGAACCCAACAAUGUGAGGAACCACAGCACUUCUCCUGGACCCUGACUUGGAACCCUGACUUCAAUAGCAGCCUUCAUCCAGCCUCAGCUCUCAAGAGCAAUGCCAGUUAGGGGUUAAGGGAGUCUUUCCGGUUCAUCUAGUGCUUAAGAAACACCAUUUCAAACAUGAUUUGGGCAGCAGGACUCUAGAUUCAACCAACAUGACAUGGGGACCAUUUCAAGCUCUACGCUUCUUUUUAAGUGCUGGUGUCCCAAUCCUCGAGAGAAAAAUGUCUGAUGUUUUGCGAAACCUCCACUAGUUUCUACCAUCGGUGAAGAAGUAAAAGAUGACACAUAUGCAAAUCAACAAGAUCAAGGACAGUGGGGGGGGGAUUCAGUGACCCCAAGGAAGGGCAGAUGGAUGUGACAACCUCACUGUCAACAGCAACAGAAGCCUGACCUUGGGCUGUGAAGAAUGUGGUCUCCUGACUGGUGGUUCCUGCUUGAGGCUGCCAAAAACAAUCUCUGUUUACGCUUCAGAAGAACUGACUGCCCUUCCCUGACUUGAGUGUCUUUAGUAUCCUAAGCUGUUUCAGACCUCUGCAUUUUCUCAUCCCUGUCCUUACCCUGAAACAAGUCAUUAACUCCCUAUACCUCUUCUUCUCCCUGUCCUUUCUUCUUACCUUCAUGGCCUUCAAUUCUCCCUCCGGUUACCUGCUGUUCAGGCACCAAGAUCCACUAAGCCACCUGAAUUUUCCUCUAGCUUUCUCUACCCCCAUUCCGUGAACCCUGAUAUGUUCCCGACAGCCCUGUGGCAUUGUGAUGGCACAGGAAAGACUUCUGACCCCCCAGCCCCCUACCACAUUCAUCUUACAUUAGUUCGGAGAUUCUCAACUGUAGGAAAUGUUGCCCUUUGAAGGACAUUCGGCAAUGUCUGAAGACAUUUUUGUUUGUUCCUACUAGAAUUUUGAGAACCUAUUGGCUGCUGUAGAGUAGAAGCCAAAGACAGGAGUGCAAGAAAAUCACAGGACAGCCCUCAACGGCUAAGGGUCAUCUGGCCUCAAAUAAUACUGACGCUAAGGUUGUUAAGGUUGAGACAACACCCUGAGUCUUUGAAGCAGGGCCCCAUUCAGCCAGUUCUAAGCCUAGUGUGGGCUGCUCAGUAGAAGUCCAACCCCCAAACUAGAAAUCCAACCUGAAAAUACCUCCUACAUUGCUAUGACACUGGUAAUAAGUGAUUUCACUUAAGUCAAAGAAAAGUCCAGAUUCAGAGGUAGCAACUCACUCAGACAAUCUUUCCCUAACACUGUCCAGCUCCCUCCCUGGUACUUCUCUUCUCUGCCGGGUGUCUGGUUGCUAUGUGUACUGUUGAUUUCAGUAGUAAUUUGACCUUGGCAUGAUAAAUCACACACCCCUCUGUUUAUUCUUGACCUUCAUUCCAUUUCAUUUUAACGAACAUCUCAAUUACUAGGCACUGUGUAGAGAAUUGCAAGAAUAAAAAUAUGACUGAGAUAAGGCUCGUCCUGCCUGGAAGUGCUUGGGGAACAGCAGAAGUGGGAGGGGAGCACAGUUCUGUCUUCUUUAGCAUGUUUCAGAGGGAA